rnacentral:rRNA from 1 species
CGGAGGCAGCAGUAAGGAAUAUUGCACAAUGGGCGCAAGCCUGAUGCAGCCAUGCCGCGUGUAUGAAGAAGGCCUUYGGGUUGUAAAGUACUUUCAGCGGGGAGGAAGGUGUUGAGGUUAAUAACCUCAGCRAUUGACGUUACCCGCAGAAGAAGCA